UCUCUCCCCAUACUUUCUCUCACCAAGUCAGCAGACAACUUUGUGCUAGGUUUGCUUGCUAAAUCUGACUGAACCUUGGGUUUUCUUGCAGGCUGGAAACUGCAUGCGAUUGUGCUCAAUACUGUGGAGAAUGCCUCAAACAGAUCACACAUGACUUAACACAGAUAAAAGCAUGAGAUCCACAAUGCUGUAGCCUCUUCUGCUUCUGGACCCUGCACCAGAGGCAGAUGGCUGGGCUGAUCUGUGUGUGGACAGGCAGAGGCAUUCAGCUCCUGUUGCCACAGAGGAAAGGUGGAUGGAGCACUUACUUACGAUAGCUGGGGAUUCACCUUGCAGCACUCCAGGCCACUUGGCUCCCUGAGGAGCACCUACAGAGCGAAUGGCAGCUGUGCCCAGCGUGUGGCUGCUCUGGGCAAGGCUCCCACGUCCCAGCCCCGGUGGGUUCCCUCUCAUGAGACUACGUGCCUGCCCAGAAACCUCCCAACUUGGAUUCCCUUGGCUGUGCCUGUCUUGACCUCGGCAGAAAUCCAGCUCUUGCCCUUCAUCUCUGAUAGUUAGAAGGAAACUCAUCAAUGCUGGUGAAAGCUAAGGAAAACAUCUGAGUAGCAGGUUCAAUCAUGAGAGUUUAGGAACAUGAUCAAGCGCUGGGAGAUGAGAGAACAUGCCAGAUGUUAAUUUUACUUGACAGGGCAGUCAGCAGAG
rnacentral:lncRNA from 1 species